rnacentral:lncRNA from 1 species
UUUUUUUUUUUUUUUUUUUUUGGUUUGGAAAGUUGCAAAGAUAUUUUUCAAAAAAAAAUUCGUCUCAAAAUGAAGCAUUUUUGUCCUACAAAACCCUUGUCCCUGAAGCCAUUCUGCAAUUAGCAUGUUUUUACUUUGCAAUUGUUUAUUUAUUCCAAGAAUUCACGUUGAGUUGGUUAGAGUUGUGAGGAUAUUUUACCUUUAAUUUAUGAAUUAAUCUUAUAUAGUACACCAACAAUGUCCACACCAUUAAAGUUAAACACAUGAAAUAUAUAUAUAUAUAUAUUUAAAUUCAAAUUUAGAUUAGGUUUCAUGCAUUUAAUGGUAAAAAAAUAUACACUCUUAACUUAACGUAUAAAAGAUGAAUUCUUAGUUUGCACAUUGCCAUUGUACAAGUGAUGCGGUUGUACUGCAUACAUAGAGUUUUCAUUCCAUUUUUCCCAUGACUUUCGUGCAUUGGAAAUUAGUCUGGUAAAUUGUCCGAUGAAGAGAACCCAAAAAUGUGAGUGACCUUUUUCUUUUUUUUUUUCUGGGCGAGUGAUAUGCUUUUACUCUUACGGGCCAAAUCUGGUUAAGUUUACAAACUCAAGAGCAUACAAAUAAAGGCCAUGUAAGGCCCAAAUAAAGGCCCACAGGCUGAGUUAGAUUGGCAGUGCAAAAGUUGUACUUCUAGAGCAGAGCAAACAAACACUACUACUGGUGGUACAGACAGCCUUUUAGUACCAUGAGAUAAUACUACUAAACCAUCAUUGGAUUUUGCACUAAUUCCUUACAUUCAAUUGCCUGAUGCAACAUGUAGUAAUUGUACGUAUGAUGAGAUUUACCUAAUUCAAUCAAAUACGUCACUUAUGGGUUUCUGCUCUGCAUCUCCUCC